ACUCUCUCUCCCUCUCUCCCUCUCUCCCUCUCUCUCUGCUCGAAUCGAACC
rnacentral:sRNA from 1 species